CCUACGUGAGGCAGCAGUGGGGAAUAUUGCACAAUGGGGGAAACCCUGAUGCAGCGACGCCGCGUGAGUGAAGAAGUAAUUCGUUAUGUAAAGCUCUAUCAGCAGGGAAGAAAAUGACGGUACCUGAGUAAGAAGCCCCGGCUAACUACGUGCCAGCAGCCGCGGUAAUACGUAGGGGGCAAGCGUUAUCCGGAUUUACUGGGUGUAAAGGGAGCGUAGACGGCAGUGCAAGUCUGGAGUGAAAGGCGGGGGCUCAACCCCCGGACUGCUCUGGAAACUGUACGGCUGGAGUGCAGGAGAGGUAAGUGGAAUUCCUAGUGUAGCGGUGAAAUGCGUAGAUAUUAGGAGGAACACCAGUGGCGAAGGCGGCUUACUGGACUGUAACUGACGUUGAGGCUCGAAAGCGUGGGGAGCAAACAGGAGUAGAUACCCGGGUAGUC
rnacentral:rRNA from 1 species